CUCCUGAGAAGGGUUCAACAGUAUAUAACACAGCAGAAAAGAGAGCUAUCACAACAUCCAUCACAUCUCAGCUGAUUCAGACCAGAUUUCUGAACUGAAAUACAUCUCUGGAUUUGGAAUGAUGGGGCCCCUGAUGACUGUCUUCUUCCUGUGUUGUUUUCAGGGACCACAGUUCUUGGACAGAAACAAGGAAAACAGUGUGAUUCUCUGGUAUACAAGGACAAAGCACAAUCAAAAGGCACACCCUUUUUCACAAACAAAGCCUACUUCAAUGAAAA